UACGGAGGGUGCAAGCGUUAUCCGGAUUUACUGGGUUUAAAGGGUGCGCAGGCGGAUAUGUAAGUCAGUGGUGAAAUCUCCGGGCUUAACCCGGAACUGCCGUUGAUACUAUAUAUCUUGAAUGCUGUGGAGGUAAGUAGAAGUAUGUCAUGUAGCGGUGAAAUGCUUAGAGAUGACAUAGAAUACCGUAUUGCGAAGGCAGCUUACUACGCAGAUAUUGACGCUCAUGCACGAAAGCGUGGGGAUCAAACAGG
rnacentral:rRNA from 1 species